rnacentral:rRNA from 1 species
UACGUAGGGGGCAAGCGUUGUCCGGAAUCAUUGGGCGUAAAGAGCGUGUAGGCGGCCCGAUAAGUCCGCCGUGAAAGCCCAGGGCUCAACCCUGGAAUGCCGGUGGAAACUGUCGGGCUGGAGUCCGGAAGAGGCGAGUGGAAUUCCUGGUGUAGCGGUGGAAUGCGCAGAUAUCAGGAGGAACACCAAUAGCGAAGGCAGCUCGCUGGGACGGUAUUGACGCUAAGGCGCGAAAGCGUGGGGAGCAAACAGG